GCGCUGGCGGCAGGCUUAACACAUGCAAGUCGAGCGGACCUUUCGGGGUCAGCGGCGGACGGGUGAGUAACGCGUGGGAACGUGCCUUCCGGUUCGGAAUAACCCUGGGAAACUAGGGCUAAUACCGGAUACGCCCUUAUGGGGAAAGGUUUACUGCCGGAAGAUCGGCCCGCGUCUGAUUAGCUAGUUGGUGGGGUAACGGCCUACCAAGGCGACGAU
rnacentral:rRNA from 1 species